rnacentral:lncRNA from 1 species
GCUACUGUCAUUUUACAAUUUUCAAUUCUCUAGGCGUAUGUAGUUUGAGUGAUAAUUAUAUUUCUACUUGAGGUAAGCCAAUAGCCAAAAGUUAUUCCAUGUGCUCUUUCCAUACACUUUGUUGCAUUCAGAAUCAAACGAACAAACAUAGCUGGAUUCACACUGUACGGGGUCUCUAUAGUUGAGCUAUCCUUUAAGUUGAUUUCUCCUUUUCUCAACUGUAUUAGGUAUUAAUUAAUGAAAAAAGAAAAUAAUCUUUUUAGUUCUCAAGUUAUUAUGCAAUUUUAUUUUUAGUCCCUAUAUUAUUUUCGGUAGCAGUUUUAACCUUUAUGCUCUUUUGGUCGAAUGAUAGAAGGAAGCUCCACCAAGAGAAUUGACGUUAACUUCUGUAUGAAGCUCAAUUGUAGAAGGAUGUCUUUUCUGAAUUAAUGGUUGCUUCGAGGGGCUUCAUUUGAUCUAGGUAAUCUUUUUCCAUCAACCAUAUUAUUAUUCAAAAAAGAACUGUAGAGAAAUCUCCAAAUACCUCUUCCAAUAGUUUGGGUACUUGUUUGAUAAUUCAGAUAUUGGACCUGUACCUUUUGAGAGCUUGAGAUUCGACAGUUGUUCCUUGUUAGUUCAUUUUAUGAGAAUCAGAAGUUUUGCAGGAACUUCAAACAGUUAACCAAUUUAGAAUCUGGUAGUAAUAAUAAAUAUACUAGGGAAAAGAAAAACAAGAUAUUAAAUAAAGCGAGAAGGUAUUUUUGUGCAGAUUUGAAUGAUUUUGACGCGCACUUGGAGGAGUAGAGUAACAAUAGUGAGAAGAUAGAAGAAAAUCAGAAGGAUAAUGGCGUGGCUGGAAAAGUGGAAUGAAGAUACUUGUUUAAAUGUUUGGUAUCGUCGAUUUACACCUUUUAUUUUUCCUUCACCAUGUUGCCUUACAGUUUGAAGAGUCAAUUACUACGUUCUUCCUCUACCCCUUUUCCUAUUUAAAAAAAGAAUGGUGUUUCGUGUCUCAAGGUUUUCUGGAGAGGCUUUGUUAGGGAAGUUAUCACUUUUCUAGCAAGGUGAAACUAUAGAAAUCUAUAAUUCUUUAUUGAUAAAGAGUAUGAAGAGAUAGUGGUCUGUGCUCUGGAAUAAAUUAAAGGGCUGCUGAUUUUUACAUUGAUGG